GGCAACGCGAGGCCUAGCGUGCGGCGUGGGGCCUGAGUGAGGCCUAGUGCGGGGUGUGGAGCCUAAGGGGCAGCGAGAUCCCCAUGGCCCCAUUGGGGAUGUUGGUCCCGGCCCGCUUCCUGACGAUGACGGCUCACCUGGUGGCACUGCUUACGGUCGCCAUGGCGAGGCCACUCUGAGCCACGCUGCUGCCACCCUCACGCUGGGCCUGGCCCUAUUGGAGCAAUGGGACCUCAGCGCCUUCACCUUCACCCUCACCCUUUGCAGGUGGGUUCUGGGGGGGGGGGGGGCACCCUAAAGACCCCCCCCGUACCCCCAAAUAGCCCCAAAUUAAUCCC
rnacentral:lncRNA from 1 species